GACGAACCGUGCGAACGUUGUUCGGAAUCACUGGGCUUAAAGGGCGCGUAGGCGGGUUCGCAAGUCUGUGGUGAAAGCCUCCAGCUUAACUGGAGAAGUGCCAUGGAUACUGCGCAUCUUGAGGAGGGUAGGGGCGUCUGGAACGGUCGGUGGAGCGGUGAAAUGCGUUGAUAUCUACAGGAACUCCGGUGGCGAAAGCGGCGUGCUGGACCUUUCUGACGCUGAGGCGCGAAAGCUAGGGGAGCAAACGGG
rnacentral:rRNA from 1 species